AUAGACAAAUUCUCCAACAAAAUGAAGGGCUGGAUGCCUAAGAUGAUGGCCGUGGCUGGGCGACUCGCACUCACACGCUCGGUGCUUAUGGCCUUGCCCAUGCAUUUCAUGGCUGCACUGCCGCUGCCAGCAUGGGCAACCAAAGUCAUCAAUCGGCGAUGUAGAGGCUUUCUCUGGAAAGGAGAAGAGGAUAUAAGUGGUGGACAUUGCCUCAUGCCAUGG
rnacentral:rRNA from 1 species